rnacentral:rRNA from 1 species
AGAGUUUGAUCCUGGCUCAGAUUGAACGCUGGCGGCGUGCCUAACACAUGCAAGUCGAGCGGUAACAGGUGUAGCAAUACAUGCUGACGAGCGGCGAACGGGUGAGUAAUACUUUGGAAUCUUCCCAGUAGUGGGGAAUAACCAGUCGAAAGAUUGGCUAAUACCGCAUACGUCUGUGAAGAGAAAGCGGGGGAUCGUAAGACCUCGCGCUAUUGGAUGAGCCAAAGUCGGAUUAGCUAGUUGGUGGGGUAAUGGCCUACCAAGGCGACAAUCCGUAGCUGGUCUGAGAGGACGACCAGCCACACCGGAACUGAGACACGGUCCGGACUCCUACGGGAGGCAGCAGUGGGGAAUAUUGGACAAUGGGGGAAACCCUGAUCCAGCGACGCCGCGUGUGUGAAGAAGGCCUGCGGGUUGUAAAGCACUUU